CGAUUGGUAGCCGGACUGAGAGGUUGAACGGCCACAUUGGGACUGAGACACGGCCCAGACUCCUACGGGAGGCAGCAGUGGGGAAUAUUGCACAAUGGGGGAAACCCUGAUGCAGCGACGCCGCGUGAAGGAAGAAGGCCUUCGGUUGUAAACUUCUGUCGUAAGGGACGAUAAUGACGGUACCUUACAAGAAAGCCACGGCUAACUACGUGCCAGCAGCCGCGGUAAAACGUAGGUGGCAAGCGUUGUCCGGAAUUACUGGGCGUAAAGGGAGCGUAGGCGGAUGAUUAAGUGGGAUGUGAAAUACCCGGGCUCAACUUGGGUGCUGCAUUCCAAACUGGUUAUCUAGAGUGCAGGAGAGGAGAGUGGAAUUCCUAGUGUAGCGGUGAAAU
rnacentral:rRNA from 1 species